rnacentral:rRNA from 1 species
AGGGUUUGAUCCUGGCUCAGAUUGAACGCUGGCGGCAGGCCUAACACAUGCAAGUCGAGCGGUAACAGAGAUAGCUUGCUAUUUGCUGACGAGCGGCGGACGGGUGCGUAACACGUAGGAAUCUGCCCGGUAGAGGGGGAUAGCCCGAAGAAAUUCGGAUUAAUACCGCAUACGCCCUAAUGGGGAAAGCAGGGGAUCUUCGGACCUUGCGCUAUCGGAUGAGCCUGCGUCGGAUUAGCUUGUUGGUGAGGUAAAGGCUCACCAAGGCGACGAUCCGUAGCUGGUCUGAGAGGAUGAUCAGCCACACUGGGACUGAGACACGGCCCAGACUCCUACGGGAGGCAGCAGUGGGGAAUAUUGCACAAUGGGCGCAAGCCUGAUGCAGCCAUGCCGCGUGUGUGAAGAAGGCUCUAGGGUUGUAAAGCACUUUCGGCGAGGAGGAAAGGUAUAAGGUUAAUACCCUUGUGCUGUGACGUUACUCGCANAAGAAGCACCGGCUAACUCCGUGCCAGCAGCCGCGGUAAUACGGAGGGUGCGAGCGUUAAUCGGAAUUACUGGGCGUAAAGCGUGCGUAGGCGGCUAUUUAAGUGGGAUGUGAAAUCCCCGGGCUUAACCUGNGAACUGCNUCC